rnacentral:rRNA from 1 species
UUAAGCGACUAAGCGUACACGGUGGAUGCCCUGGCAGUCAGAGGCGAUGAAGGACGUGCUAAUCUGCGAAAAGCGUCGGUAAGGUGAUAUGAACCGUUAUAGCCGGCGAUGUCCGAAUGGGGAAACCCAGUGCAAUUCGUUGCACUAUCGUUAACUGAAUACAUAGGUUAACGAGGCGAACCGGGGGAACUGAAACAUCUAAGUACCCCGAGGAAAAGAAAUCAACCGAGAUUCCCCCAGUAGCGGCGAGCGAACGGGGAGCAGCCCAGAGUCUGAAUCAGCUUGUGUGUUAGUGGAACGGUCUGGAAAGUCCGACGGUACAGGGUGAUAGUCCCGUACACCAAAAUGCACAGGCUGUGAACUCGAAGAGUAGGGCGGGACACGUGGUAUCCUGUCUGAAUAUGGGGGGACCAUCCUCCAAGGCUAAAUACUCCUGACUGACCGAUAGUGAACCAGUACCGUGAGGGAAAGGCGAAAAGAACCCCGGCGAGGGGAGUGAAAAAGAACCUGAAACCGUGUACGUACAAGCAGUGGGAGCACCUUCGGGUGUGACUGCGUACCUUUUGUAUAAUGGGUCAGCGACUUAUAUUCUGUAGCAAGGUUAACCGUAUAGGGGAGCCGCAGGGAAACCGAGUCUUAACUGGGCGUUAAGUUGCAGGGUAUAGACCCGAAACCCGGUGAUCUAGCCAUGGGCAGGUUGAAGGUUGGGUAACACUAACUGGAGGACCGAACCGACUAAUGUUGAAAAAUUAGCGGAUGACUUGUGGCUGGGGGUGAAAGGCCAAUCAAACCGGGAGAUAGCUGGUUCUCCCCGAAAGCUAUUUAGGUAGCGCCUCGUGAAUUCAUCUUCGGGGGUAGAGCACUGUUUCGGCUAGGGGGUCAUCCCGACUUACCAACCCGAUGCAAACUACGAAUACCGAAGAAUGUUAUCACGGGAGACACACGGCGGGUGCUAACGUCCGUCGUGAAGAGGGAAACAACCCAGACCGCCAGCUAAGGUCCCAAAGUCAUGGUUAAGUGGGAAACGAUGUGGGAAGGCACAGACAGCCAGGAUGUUGGCUUAGAAGCAGCCAUCAUUUAAAGAAAGCGUAAUAGCUCACUGGUCGAGUCGGCCUGCGCGGAAGAUGUAACGGGGCUAAACCAUGCACCGAAGCUGCGGCAGCGACACUAUGUGUUGUUGGGUAGGGGAGCGUUCUGUAAGCCUGCGAAGGUGACCUGUGAGGGUUGCUGGAGGUAUCAGAAGUGCGAAUGCUGACAUAAGUAACGAUAAAGCGGGUGAAAAGCCCGCUCGCCGGAAGACCAAGGGUUCCUGUCCAACGUUAAUCGGGGCAGGGUGAGUCGACCCCUAAGGCGAGGCCGAAAGGCGUAGUCGAUGGGAAACAGGUUAAUAUUCCUGUACUUGGUGUUACUGCGAAGGGGGACGGAGAAGGCUAUGUUAGCCGGGCGACGGUUGUCCCGGUUUAAGCAUGUAGGCUGAUUGUCCAGGCAAAUCCGGAUAAUCAAGGCUGAGGUGUGAUGACGAGGCACUACGGUGCUGAAGUAACAAAUGCCCUGCUUCCAGGAAAAGCCUCUAAGCAUCAGGUAACAUCAAAUCGUACCCCAAACCGACACAGGUGGUCAGGUAGAGAAUACCAAGGCGCUUGAGAGAACUCGGGUGAAGGAACUAGGCAAAAUGGUGCCGUAACUUCGGGAGAAGGCACGCUGGUGUGUAGGUGAAGCCCCUGCGGGUGGAGCUGAGACCAGUCGAAGAUACCAGCUGGCUGCAACUGUUUAUUAAAAACACAGCACUGUGCAAACACGAAAGUGGACGUAUACGGUGUGACGCCUGCCCGGUGCCGGAAGGUUAAUUGAUGGGGUUAUCCGUAAGGAGAAGCUCUUGAUCGAAGCCCCGGUAAACGGCGGCCGUAACUAUAACGGUCCUAAGGUAGCGAAAUUCCUUGUCGGGUAAGUUCCGACCUGCACGAAUGGCGUAAUGAUGGCCAGGCUGUCUCCACCCGAGACUCAGUGAAAUUGAACUCGCUGUGAAGAUGCAGUGUACCCGCGGCAAGACGGAAAGACCCCGUGAACCUUUACUAUAGCUUGACACUGAACAUUGAGCCUUGAUGUGUAGGAUAGGUGGGAGGCUUUGAAGCGUGGACGCCAGUCUGCGUGGAGCCAACCUUGAAAUACCACCCUUUAAUGUUUGAUGUUCUAACGUUGGCCCCUUACCGGGGUUGCGGACAGUGUCUGGUGGGUAGUUUGACUGGGGCGGUCUCCUCCCAAAGCGUAACGGAGGAGCACGAAGGUUAGCUAAUCCUGGUCGGACAUCAGGAGGUUAGUGCAAUGGCAUAAGCUAGCUUGACUGCGAGCGUGACGGCGCGAGCAGGUGCGAAAGCAGGUCAUAGUGAUCCGGUGGUUCUGAAUGGAAGGGCCAUCGCUCAACGGAUAAAAGGUACUCCGGGGAUAACAGGCUGAUACCGCCCAAGAGUUCAUAUCGACGGCGGUGUUUGGCACCUCGAUGUCGGCUCAUCACAUCCUGGGGCUGAAGUAGGUCCCAAGGGUAUGGCUGUUCGCCAUUUAAAGUGGUACGCGAGCUGGGUUUAGAACGUCGUGAGACAGUUCGGUCCCUAUCUGCCGUGGGCGCUGGAGAAUUGAGGGGGGCUGCUCCUAGUACGAGAGGACCGGAGUGGACGCAUCACUGGUGUUCGGGUUGUCAUGCCAAUGGCACUGCCCGGUAGCUAAAUGCGGAAGAGAUAAGUGCUGAAAGCAUCUAAGCACGAAACUUGCCCCGAGAUGAGUUCUCCCUGAGACUUUAAGUCUCCUGAAGGAACGUUAAAGACGAUGACGUUGAUAGGCCGGGUGUGUAAGCGCAGCGAUGCGUUGAGCUAACCGGUACUAAUGAACCGUGAGGCUUAACCUU